rnacentral:snRNA from 1 species
UGUUUUGCGCAGUGGCAGUAUUGUAGCCAAUGAGGUUAAUCCGAGGCGCAAUUAUUGCUAAUUGAUUUGUUAUAAUGUUCCUACUUCUUCUGAACUGGAAUUACAGUACAGAAAGAAGGCAGUGGAGAUGUUGCCCUAGUCACUGCAUGUCAGAUGUGAACGUAAGAACA